GGCCUGGUGGUCUAGGGGUAUGAUACUCGCUUUGGGUGCGAGUGGUCCCGGGUUCAAAUCCCGGCCAGGCCC
rnacentral:tRNA from 1 species